UGGCCGUGUGACUCUGGUUCCGGCAGAGGAC
rnacentral:sRNA from 1 species